rnacentral:tRNA from 2 species
GGAGGGCUGGCCGAGUGGUCGAUGGCGGCUGACUUGAAAUCAGUUGCGGGGUGACCCGCCAGGGGUUCGAAUCCUCUGCCCUCCGCCA